ACCAUCUAAAAUGUGAUGAAUGUCAUACUCGUUCCAAGUGAGAAUUAAUUAUGGCAAUGACAAGAGUGCUACCAAAGCCACCCAUACUCUAUGACAAUGUUGCAUUAACAGAAGCAAUCAGUAGAGUUUCAAAUAAAAAUAAUACUGUAAAACCUGCCUUUCCUGCUUAGAGUCCCAAGAUAGGUGAGUCAUCAUGACUCCAAACUUCUGUUGUGAAUAAAGCAAGAAGAAGAUAAAGAGCAGCACUUUCUCUUGCUGGGAGCUGCAGAUAAACCCCCUGUCACUUACCUACACUCAUCCUCAGUGAGAACAAAGCCAGCUCUGUAGCUGAGUCCAGACAGCAUCUCUGACUGGAGCAGACCCGAGGGGACAUUCCAGCAUGGGCCUGGCACUGCAUUUGGUGGCAUACAGUCCUUCACUAUGCUCUGCUUCUAUGAACCAAAACCACUAAAACAAAUAUUGGCAGUGAAAUAAUUCCACCAUGUGUUAUUCUAACACCACAGUUCAGAAUUAUGAGUAGUC